GGGACCGCCGGGCCACCACCGGCCGCCUCAGCCAUGGACGCGUCCCUGGAGAAGAAUCCUUGCCCGGAGUCCAGCGCCUCCUUCCUGUCCAGGAUCACCUUCUGGUGGAUCACAGGGUUGAUUGUCCGGGGCUACCGCCAGCCCCUGGAGGGCAGCGACCUCUGGUCCUUAAACAAGGAGGACACGUCGGAACAAGUCGUGCCUGUUUUGGUAAAGAACUGGAAGAAGGAAUGUGCCAAGACU